GACGAACGCUGGCGGCGUGCUUAACACAUGCAAGUCGAACGGAAAGGCCCUGCUUUUGUGGGGUGCUCGAGUGGCGAACGGGUGAGUAACACGUGAGUAACCUGCCCUUGACUUUGGGAUAACUUCAGGAAACUGGGGCUAAUACCGGAUAGGAGCUCCUGCUGCAUGGUGGGGGUUGGAAAGUUUCGGCGGUUGGGGAUGGACUCGCGGCUUAUCAGCUUGUUGGUGGGGUAGUGGCUUACCAAGGCUUUGACGGGUAGCCGGCCUGAGAGGGUGACCGGGCACAUUGGGACUGAGAUACGGCCCAGACUCCUACGGGAGGCAGCAGUGGGGAAUAUUGCAGAAUGGGCGGAAGCCUGAUGCAGCAACGCCGCGUGCGGGAUGACGGGCUUCGGGUUGUAAACCGCUUUGGCCUGUGACGAAGCGUGAGUGACGGUAAUGGGUAAAGAAGCACCGGCUAACUACGUG
rnacentral:rRNA from 1 species